CGACCGGCGCACGGUGAGUAACACGUAUCCAACCUGCCGAUGACUCGGGGAUAGCCUUUCGAAAGAAAGAUUAAUACCCGAUGGCAUAGUUCUUCCGCAUGGUAGAACUAUUAAAGAAUUUCGGUCAUCGAUGGAGAUGCGUUCCAUUAGCUUGUUGGCGGGGUAACGGCCCACCAAGGCAUCGAUGGAUAGGGGUUCUGAGAGGAAGGUCCCCCACAUUGGAACUGAGACACGGUCCAAACUCCUACGGAAGGCAGCAG
rnacentral:rRNA from 1 species